GACGAAGGGGGCUAGCGUUGUUCGGAAUUACUGGGCGUAAAGCGCGUGUAGGCGGUUGUUCAAGUCGGGUGUGAAAGCCUUGAGCUCAACUCAAGAAAUGCACUCGAUACUGGAUGACUUGAGGACCAGAGAGGAUAGUGGAAUUCCCAGUGUAGUGGUGAAAUACGUAGAGAUUGGGAAGAACACCAGUGGCGAAGGCGGCUAUCUGGACGGUUUCUGACGCUAAGACGCGAAAGCGUGGGGAGCAAACAGG
rnacentral:rRNA from 1 species